rnacentral:rRNA from 1 species
AGCGAACGCUGGCGGCAGGCCUAACACAUGCAAGUCGAACGAACUCUUCGGAGUUAGUGGCGGACGGGUGAGUAACACGUGGGAACGUGCCUUUUGGUUCGGAAUAACUCAGGGAAACUUGUGCUAAUACCGAAUGUGCCCUUCGGGGGAAAGGUUUAUCGCCAUUAGAGCGGCCCGCGUCUGAUUAGCUAGUUGGUGAGGUAACGGCUCACCAAGGCGACGAUCAGUAGCUGGUCUGAGAGGAUGACCAGCCACACUGGGACUGAGACACGGCCCAGACUCCUACGGGAGGCAGCAGUGGGGAAUCUUGCGCAAUGGGCGAAAGCCUGACGCAGCCAUGCCGCGUGAAUGAUGAAGGUCUUAGGAUUGUAAAAUUCUUUCACCGGGGACGAUAAUGACGGUACCCGGAGAAGAAGCCCCGGCUAACUUCGU